CAGCAGCCGCGGUAACACGGAGGGUGCAAGCGUUAAUCGGAAUUACUGGGCGUAAAGCGCACGCAGGCGGUCUGACAAGUCAGAUGUGAAAUCCCCGGGCUUAACCUGGGAACUGCAUUUGAAACUGUCAGGCUGGAGUCUUGUAGAGGGGGGUGGAAUUCCAGGUGUAGCGGUGAAAUGCGUAGAGAUCUGGAGGAAUACCGGUGGCGAAGGCGGCCCCCUGGACAAAGACUGACGCUCAGGUGCGAAAGCGUGGGGAGCAAACAGGAUUAGAUACCCCUGUAGUCCCUGUCUCUUAUAC
rnacentral:rRNA from 1 species